rnacentral:rRNA from 1 species
UACGUAGGGUGCGAGCGUUAAUCGGAAUUACUGGGCGUAAAGCGUGCGCAGGCGGUUUUGUAAGCCAGAUGUGAAAUCCACGGGCUUAACCUGGGAAUGGCAUUUGGGACUGCAAGGCUCGAGUGCGGCAGAGGAGACUGGAAUUCCUGGUGUAGCAGUGAAAUGCGUAGAUAUCAGGAGGAACACCGAUGGCGAAGGCAGGUCUCUGGGCUGACACUGACGCUCAUGCACGAAAGCGUGGGGAGCAAACAGG